AGGCGGGACGUCAGGAGCGCACGCCCGUUCUGCUUCGGCGUGCGUCAGGCGGUGCGGGCGACGAUGUUGUAUAACGCGCCAAAAUGGGCACGGCAGAAGAGCGCGGCGGGUUGUUAGGGCAGGGAUGGCUGGAGGCACGGCGGCCGCCAUCUCUUGUUUGGCUCCCCUAGUGUACGUUCGCCGCCCUCGUCUGUCGUUUUCUUCCUGCAUGCGUCACCAAAAUCGAACCUGGAACGACCGAACCAUUAUGAGAAGUACACCGCCACUGGGCUUGGGAGAAACUACACCAGAGGAGCACCGUUUCGCAGGGCAUCAGACGAACCAUGCACUCGAGUCCUGGAAACAAAGGCAGCAAAAAUAAAAAGGUCAGACAGUUAGUUGCUCAGGCCAUCAUCCAAACCAUUCUUCUUCGGCUUAGUUUUCGCCUCCUCAUGCUAACUGGCUUGCUGCUUACAUCGAGUUAAGGGGAACACAUGUAAUGUAAACCAUUUUACUCACGAUGUUUAUUGAAGAAAAUUAACCAA